rnacentral:rRNA from 1 species
AGGGCAAGUCUGGUGCCAGCAGCCGCGGUAAUUCCAGCUCCAAUAGCGUAUAUUAAAGUUGUUGCAGUUAAAAAGCUCGUAGUUGAAUUUCGGGGUUAGUAGGUUGGUCAUGCCACUGGUAUGUACUGAUCUUACUGAUUCCUCCUUCCUGAUGAACCGUAAUGCCAUUAAUUUGGUGUUGCGGGGAGACUGGACUGUUACUUUGAAAAAAUUAGAGUGUUUAAAGCAGGCUAACGCUUGAAUACAUUAGCAUGGAAUAAUGAAAUAGGACGUUCGAUCCUAUUUUGUUGGUUUCUAGGAUUGACGUAAUGAUUAAUAGGGAUAGUUGGGGGCAUUAGUAUUCAAUUGUCAGAGGUGAAAUUCUUGGAUUUAUUGAAGACUAACUACUGCGAAAGCAUUUGCCAAGGAUGUUUUCAUUAAUCAAGAACGAAAGUUAGGGGAUCGAAGGCGAUCAGAUACCGUCGUAGUCUUAACCAUAAACUAUGCCGACUAGGGAUCGGAUGAUGUUAAUUUUUUAAUGACUCAUUCGGCGCCUUACGGGAA